rnacentral:rRNA from 1 species
GUUAGGAAUAUUGGACAAUGGGCGAAAGCCUGAUCCAGCCAUGCCGCGUGAACGAUGAAGGCCUUCGGGUUGUAAAGUUCUUUAGCCGAUGAUUAUAAUGACUGUAGUCGGAAAAUAAGCCCCGGCUAACUUCGUGCCAGCAGCCGCGGUAAUACGAAGGGGGCGAGCGUUAUUCGGAAUCACUGGGCGUAAAGCGUGCGUAGGCGGUUUUGUAAGUUAGGAGUGAAAGCCCAGGGCUCAACCUUGGAAUUGCUCUUAAAACUGCAAGGCUAGAAUCUCGGAGAGGAUAGCAGAAUUUCCAGUGUAGCAGUGAAAUGCGUAGAUAUUGGAAGGAACACCAGUGGCGUAAGCGGCUAUCUGGACGAGUAUUGACGCUGAGGCACGAAAGCGUGGGGAUCAAACAGGAUUAGAAACCCCAGUAGUCC